GGGAGCUGCGGGCUCUGAGGGGCGCAGCGGUACCGGGGGCGGGCCGCGGGUCCGCCUGGGGGCCCGGUGCUUGGUAGGGCUCCUAUUCUCCUUCCCAGGAGUCGUAUCCUCAGGGAGUAGCACCUCCUCGCUACAGGGCAGGUAGGGGCACAGGUGCGGAAGAGGCUGCUGGCAUUGCCCGGUCCCCGGAACGCGAGCUGGAAUCGAGCUUUACUGAGCCCCUGAUCAGAGCGCGUCCCGGGGCGGUGCAGGCGUUCCUGAGGAGAGGAGCUGAGCCCACCGCAGCCCCGGAGCUGCCUGUAGGACUGAGCCCCCUGCGCUGCCUCUCUGGAUUCUCUCUCCUGGGCUGCUGUGCCUGCGGCUUCCGAAGCUGAAAUCCAGUGUGAAGGUGCUGCAAAAGCAGAGAUGAUUAUACAAAGAGUAGUGCUGAAUUCACGGCCUGGUAAGAAUGGAGUGCCAGUGGCUGAAAACUUCCGACUGGAGCAAAGUACAAUAGCAGAUACAGUCCAAGCGGGACAAGUGCGUGUUAAAACUCUCUAUCUCUCAGUGGACCCCUACAUGCGCUGCCGAAUGAAUGAGGACACGGGCUCGGAUUACCUUCAGCCCUGGCAGCUCUCUGAAGUUGCUGACGGUGGGGGCAUCGGGGUAGUGGAGGAGAGCCAGCACCACAACCUCGCUAAAGGAGACUUUGUCACUUCCUUCACUUGGCCCUGGCAGACAGUGGCAAUUCUUGAUGGAGACUCGCUGCAAAAGCUGGCACCACAGCUUGUAAAUGGACGCCUUUCCUACUUUCUGGGUGCAGCUGGCAUCACGGGGCUGACGGCCCUGUUGGGAAUCAGGGAGAAGGGACACGUGGCCGCGGGUGCAAACCAGACCAUGGUGGUGAGCGGAGCGGCCGGUGCCUGCGGCUCUUUGGCCGGCCAGAUUGGCCGUCUGGAGGGCUGCUCUAGAGUGGUGGGGAUUGCUGGCACAGAUGAAAAGUGCUCUAUUUUGGUCCAAGAAAUGGGGUUUGAUGCUGCUAUCAAUUACAAGAAGGGGGAUGUGGCAAAACAGCUACGUGAACUCUGCCCAGGUGGUGUGGAUGUUUACUUUGACAAUGUUGGUGGAGACAUCAGUGAUACAGUUAUAAGUCAGAUGAAUCAGAACAGCCAUAUCAUCCUGUGUGGACAGAUUUCUCAGUAUAACAAAGACGUGCCUUAUCCCCCUCCACUGCCUCCUGACACAGAAAAAAUACAGAAAGAAAGGAACAUCACAAGGGAAAGAUUCUUGGUGUUGAACUACAUGGACAAACAAGAAGCUAGUGUAUUACAACUCUGCCAGUGGAUCCAAGAGGGUAAACUGAAGGAUUGAACAGACCUUUUAAAAAAUGUGUCAGAGAGACGGUGGUAGAAGGCUUAGCAAACAUCGGUGCUGCUUUCCAGUCCAUGAUGAAUGGAGGCAAUAUUGGAAAACAGAUCGUCUCAAUUUCGAAGUAAAAGUCAUUGGUUUGAGAAAAAUAAUUGCAUUCUGUCUCUAACAAUGGGCAAGUUUUUACUUAUACUAAUUUCCAUUUCUUAAAUAAACCAUUAAUUUGUUCUGUAUGUACUGAAAGCAGAGAUUUUGGGAUGCUAAUAAAUUAAAUUGAACUGGAAA